rnacentral:rRNA from 1 species
UAGGGAAUCUUCGGCAAUGGACGAAAGUCUGACCGACCAACGCCGCGUGAGUGAAGAAGGUUUCCGGUUCGUAAAACUCUGUUGUUAGAGAAGAACAAGGACGUUAGUAACUGAACGUCCCCUGACGGUAUCUAACCAGAAAGCCACGGCUAACUACGUGCCAGCAGCCGCGGUAAUACGUAGGUGGCAAGCGUUGUCCGGAUUUAUUGGGCGUAAAGCGAGCGCAGGCGGUUUCUUAAGUCUGAUGUGAAAGCCCCCGGCUCAACCGGGGAGGGUCAUUGGAAACUGGGAGACAUGAGUGCAGAAGAGGAGAGUGGAAUUCCAUGUGUAGCGGUGAAAUGCGUAGAUAUAUGGAGGAACACCAGUGGCGGAGGCGGCUCUCUGGUCUGUAACUGCCGCUGAGGCUCGAAAGCGUGGGGAGCAAACAGG